GACGAACGCUGGCGGCGUGCUUAACACAUGCAAGUCGAGCGGUAAGGCCCUUUCGGGGGUACACGAGCGGCGAACGGGUGAGUAACACGUGGGUGACCUGCCUUUAGCUCUGGGAUAAGCCUGGGAAACUGGGUCUAAUACCGGAUACGACUCCGCGGUGCAUGCUGUGGGGUGGAAAGCCUUGUGCGGCUGGAGAUGGGCCCGCGGCCUAUCAGCUUGUUGGUGGGGUGAUGGCCUACCAAGGCGACGACGGGUAGCCGGCCUGAGAGGGCGACCGGCCACACUGGGACUGAGACACGGCCCAGACUCCUACGGGAGGCAGCAGUGGGGAAUCUUGCGCAAUGCGCGAAAGCCUGACGCAGCGACGCCGCGUGAGGGAUGACGG
rnacentral:rRNA from 1 species